rnacentral:rRNA from 1 species
AUUGAACGCUGGCGGCAUGCUUUACACAUGCAAGUCGAACGGUAACAGGCCGCAAGGUGCUGACGAGUGGCGGACGGGUGAGUAAUGCAUCGGAACGUGCCCAGUCGUGCGGGAUAACGCAGCGAAAGCUGUGCUAAUACCGCAUACGAUCUAUGGAUGAAAGCGGGGGACCGUAAGGCCUCGCGCGAUUGGAGCGGCCGAUGUCAGAUUAGGUAGUUGGUGGGGUAAAGGCUCACCAAGCCAACGAUCUGUAGCUGGUCUGAGAGGACGACCAGCCACACUGGGACUGAGACACGGCCCAGACUCCUACGGGAGGCAGCAGUGGGGAAUUUUGGACAAUGGGCGCAAGCCUGAUCCAGCAAUGCCGCGUGCAGGAAGAAGGCCUUCGGGUUGUAAACUGCUUUUGUACGGAACGAAACGGUCUGGGUUAAUACCUCGGGCUAAUGACGGUACCGUAAGAAUAAGCACCGGCUAACUACGUGCCAGCCGCCGCAGUAAAAC